AUUGAACGCUGGCGGCAGGCCUAACACAUGCAAGUCGAGCGGAUGAAGGGGGCUUGCUCCUGGAUUCAGCGGCGGACGGGUGAGUAAUGCGCAGGAAUCUACCUCGUAGUGGGGGAUAACGUCUCGAAAGGGGCGCUAAUACCGCAUACGUUCUGAGGAAGAAAGCAGGGGACCUUCGGGCCUUGCGCUAUGAGAUGAGCUUGCGUCCGAUUAGCUAGUUGGUGGGGUAAAGGCCUACCAAGGCGACGAUCGGUAACUGGUCUGAGAGGAUGAUCAGUCACACUGGAACUGAGACACGGUCCAGACUCCUACGGGAGGCAGCAGUGGGGAAUAUUGGACAAUGGGGGCAACCCUGAUCCAGCCAUGCCGCGUGUGUGAAGAAGGCCUCGGUUGUAAG
rnacentral:rRNA from 1 species